AAAAAGUUAAUAAUAUUCACUUAUAUAAAUCUGAUAAUAAGGGUCGGAUGUUUCUACCAAGCUACCGUAAAUUGCUAUAGGACUAUAAGUGUCUACUUAAAAAUU
rnacentral:ncRNA from 2 species